AAUCAACGCUGGCGGCGUGCCUCAGACAUGCAAGUCGAACGAUUAAAGCUCUCUUCGGAGAGUGCAUAAAGUGGCGCACGGGUGAGUAACACGUAAGUAAUCUACCUUCGAGUGGGGAAUAACGUCCGGAAACGGACGCUAAUACCGCAUAAUGCAGCGGCACCUAAUGGUGACAGUUGUUAAAGAAUUUAUUCGCUUGAAGAGGAGCUUGCGGCAGACUAGCUAGUUGGUAAGGUAAUGGCUUACCAAGGCUUCGAUCUGUAACCGGUCUAAGAGGACGGUCGGUAACACUGAGACUGAAUAGCGGGUCAGACUCCUACGGGAGGCAGCAGUCGGGAAUUUUGGACAAUGGGCGAAAGCCUGACCCAGCAACGCCGCGUGAAGGAUGAAGUAUUUCGGUAUGUAAACUUCGAAAGAAUGGGAAGAAUCAAUGACGGUACCAUUUAUAAGGUCCGGCUAACUACGUGCCAGCCGCCGCAGUAA
rnacentral:rRNA from 1 species